AUUGAACGCUGGCGGCAGGCUUAACACAUGCAAGUCGAGCGGAGCGAGGGUGCUUGCACCUUAGCUUAGCGGCGGACGGGUGAGUAAUGCUUAGGAAUCUGCCUAUUAGUGGGGGACAACAUUCCGAAAGGAAUGCUAAUACCGCAUACGCCCUACGGGGGAAAGCAGGGGAUCUUCGGACCUUGCGCUAAUAGAUGAGCCUAAGUCGGAUUAGCUCGUUGGUGGGUAAAGGCCUACCAAGGCGACGAUCUGUAGCGGGUCUGAGUGGAUGAUCAGCCACACUGGGACUGAGACACGGCCCAGACUCCUACGGGAGGCAGCAGUGGGGAAUAUUGGACAAUGGGCGGAAGCCUGAUCCAGCCAUGCCGCGUGUGUGAAGAAGGCCUUUUGGUUGUAAAGCACUUUAAGCGAGGAGGAGGCUACUUAGAUUAAUACUCUGGGAUAGUGGACGUUACUCGCAGAAUAAGCACCGGCUAACUCUGUGCCAGCAGCCGCUGUAA
rnacentral:rRNA from 1 species